GAUGAACGCUGGCGGCGUGCCUAAUACAUGCAAGUCGAGCGAACAGACGAGGAGCUUGCUCCUCUGACGUUAGCGGCGGACGGGUGAGUAACACGUGGAUAACCUACCUAUAAGACUGGGAUAACUUCGGGAAACCGGAGCUAAUACCGUAUAACAUGUUGAACCGCAUGGUUCAACAGUGAAAGACGGUCUUGCUGUCACUUAUAGAUGGAUCCGCGCCGCAUUAGCUAGUUGGUAAGGUAACGGCUUACCAAGGCAACGAUGCGUAGCCGACCUGAGAGGGUGAUCCGCCACACCGGAACUGAGACACGGUCCCGACUCCUACGGGAGGCAGCAGUAGGGAAUCUUCCGCAAUGGGCGAAAGCCUUACGGAGCAACGCCGCGUGAGUGAAGAAGGUCUUCCGAUCGUAAAACUCUGUUAUUAGGGAAGAACAAAUGUGUAAGUAACUAUGCACGUCUUGACGGUACCUAAUCAGAAAGCCACGGCUAACUACGUG
rnacentral:rRNA from 1 species